rnacentral:rRNA from 1 species
UACGUAGGUGACAAGCGUUGUCCGGAUUUACUGGGCGUAAAGAGCGCGCAGGCGGUCGAUCAAGUCGAGUGUGAAAGCCCCCGGCUCAACUGGGGAGGGUCACGCGAUACUGAUCGACUCGAAGGCAGGAGAGGGAAGUGGAAUUCCCGGUGUAGUGGUGAAAUGCGUAGAUAUCGGGAGGAACACCAGUGGCGAAGGCGACUUCCUGGCCUGUUCUUGACGCUGAGGCGCGAAAGCUAGGGGAGCAGACGGG